GAUGAACGCUAGCGAUAGGCUUAACACAUGCAAGUCGAGGGGCAGCAUGGUCUUAGCUUGCUAAGACUGAUGGCGACCGGCGCACGGGUGCGUAACGCGUAUGCAACUUGCCUCACAGAGGGGGAUAACCCGUCGAAAGACGGACUAAUACCGCGUACACUCCAUCUUGGGCAUCCAAGGUAGAGAAAAUGAAAUUCGCUGUGAGAUAGGCAUGCGUCCCAUUAGCUAGUUGGUGAGGUAACGGCUCACCAAGGCGACGAUGGGUAGGGGAACUGAGAGGUUGAACCCCCACACUGGUACUGAGACACGGACCAGACUCCUACGGGAGGCAGCAGUGAGGAAUAUUGGUCAAUGGGCGAGAGCCUGAACCAGCCAAGUCGCGUGAAGGAUGACUGUCUUAUGGAUUGUAAACUUCUUUUAUACGGGAAUAACAAGAGUCACGUGUGACUCCCUGCAUGUACCGUAUGAAUAAGCAUCGGCUAACUCCGUG
rnacentral:rRNA from 1 species